CCUACGGGAGGCAGCAGUGGGGAAUAUUGCACAAUGGGCGCAAGCCUGAUGCAGCCAUGCCGCGUGUAUGAAGAAGGCCUUCGGGUUGUAAAGUACUUUCAGCGGGGAGGAAGGYGWURAGGUUAAUAACCUYRKCRAUUGACGUUACCCGCAGAAGAAGCACCGGCUAACUCCGUGCCAGCAGCCGCGGUAAUACGGAGGGUGCAAGCGUUAAUCGGAAUUACUGGGCGUAAAGCGCACGCAGGCGGUCUGUCAAGUCGGAUGUGAAAUCCCCGGGCUCAACCUGGGAACUGCAUUCGAAACUGGCAGGCUAGAGUCUUGUAGAGGGGGGUAGAAUUCCAGGUGUAGCGGUGAAAUGCGUAGAGAUCUG
rnacentral:rRNA from 1 species